rnacentral:rRNA from 1 species
AACGCGAAGAACCUUACCAGCCCUUGACAUCCCGGUCGCGGAUCGCAGAGAUGCUUUCCUUCAGUUCGGCUGGACCGGUGACAGGUGCUGCAUGGCUGUCGUCAGCUCGUGUCGUGAGAUGUUGGGUUAAGUCCCGCAACGAGCGCAACCCCCGCCUUCAGUUGCCAACGGUUCGGCCGUGCACUCUGGAGGAACUGCCUGUGACAAGCAGGAGGAAGGUGGGGAUGACGUCAAGUCCUCAUGGCCCUUAUGGGCCGGGCUACACACGUGCUACAAUGGCGGUGACAGAGGGAUGCAAUACCGCGAGGUGGAGCAAAUCCCUAAAAGCCGUCUCAGUUCGGAUUGUUCUCUGCAACUCGAGAGCAUGAAGUUGGAAUCCGCUAGUAAUCGCGGAUCAGCUCGCCGCGGUGAAUACGUUCCCGGGCCUUGUACACACCG